UGGGGAAUAUUGGGCAAUGGAGGAAACUCUGACCCAGCCAUGCCGCGUGGGUGAUGAAGGUCUUCGGAUUGUAAAGCCCUUUCGGCGGGGACGAUGAUGACGGUACCCGCAGAAGAAGCCCCGGCUAACUUCGUGCCAGCAGCCGCGGUAAUACGAAGGGGGCUAGCGUUGUUCGGAAUUACUGGGCGUAAAGGGCGUGUAGGCGGUUCGUUAAGUCAGGCGUGAAAUGCCCGGGCUCAACCCGGGAACUGCGCUUGAUACUGGCGGACUCGAGUCCGGGAGAGGAUGGUGGAACUCCCAGUGUAGAGGUGAAAUUCGUAGAUAUUGGGAAGAACACCCGUGGCGAAGGCGGCCAUCUGGACCGGUACUGACGCUAAGGCGCGACAGCGUGGGGAGCAAACAGG
rnacentral:rRNA from 1 species